rnacentral:rRNA from 1 species
GGGAUAACAGUUGGAAACGACUGCUAAUACCGCAUGAGCCGAGAGGUAAAAGAUUUAUUGNCUAAGGAUGAACUCGCGUCUGAUUAGCUAGUUGGUGAGGUAAGGGCUCACCAAGGCGACGAUCAGUAGCUGGUCUGAGAGGAUGAUCAGCCACACUGGGACUGAGACACGGCCCAGACUCCUACGGGAGGCAGCAGUGGGGAAUUUUCCGCAAUGGGGGGAACCCUGACGGAGCAACGCCGCGUGGGGGAGGAAGGUCUGUGGAUUGUAAACCCCUUUUCUCAGGGAAGAAGGACUGACGG